rnacentral:rRNA from 1 species
GAUGAACGCUGGCGGCGUGCCUAAUACAUGCAAGUCGAGCGAACAGACGAGGAGCUUGCUCCUCUGACGUUAGCGGCGGACGGGUGAGUAACACGUGGAUAACCUACCUAUAAGACUGGGAUAACUUCGGGAAACCGGAGCUAAUACCGGAUAAUAUAUUGAACCGCAUGGUUCAAUAGUGAAAGACGGUUUUGCUGUCACUUAUAGAUGGAUCCGCGCCGCAUUAGCUAGUUGGUAAGGUAACGGCUUACCAAGGCAACGAUGCGUAGCCGACCUGAGAGGGUGAUCCGCCACACUUGAACUGAGACACGGUCCAGACUCCUACGGGAGGCAGCAGUAGGGAAUCUUCCGCAAUGGGCGAAAGCUUGACGGAGCAACGCCGCGGGAGGGAUGAAGGUCUUCGGAUCGGAAAACUCUGUUAUUAGGGAAGAACAAAUGUGUAAGUAACUAUGCACGGCUUGACGGUACCUAAUCAGAAAGCCACGGCUAACUACGUG